rnacentral:rRNA from 1 species
UACGUAGGGUGCGAGCGUUAAUCGGAAUUACUGGGCGUAAAGCGUGCGCAGGCGGCGCGUUAAGACAGGUGUGAAAGCCCCCGAGCUUAACUUGGGAAUUGCGCUUGUGACUGGCGUGCUGGAGUGUGGCAGAGGGAGGUGGAAUUCCACGUGUAGCAGUGAAAUGCGUAGAGAUGUGGAGGAACACCGAUGGCGAAGGCAGCCUCCUGGGCCAGCACUGACGCUCAUGCACGAAAGCGUG